CACAUAAAUACAGUACGAGUAUUUAUUUUGCAAGUACAUUCAUUCAAAUUUAAAGUGAAGAUGAUGGCCACAUCAUCCAUGGCCACACGCACAUCUCUAAUUCAUCAUCCCUUACUCUCUUCAACUCCCUCUAAACUUAUUCUAUCUUCUUUCCGGCCAUCCGUCCAUUUCCGCCACCUCCGUCCAUCUCCUCCGCGUCGCACUAAACUCUUCCUCCGCCGUAUCUCCGCCUUUUCUCCCGACGACUCAAACACAAUCCAAAACAAUCCUUUAUUACAUGACUUUGAUUUCCCUCCCUUUGAUGUUAUUGAUGCUUCUCAUGUCCGCCCUGGCUUGCGUUCCUUACUCAACCAACUAGAGGAUGAAUUGGGGGAACUAGAGAAGACGGUUGAGCCGUCGUGGACGAAAUUAGUUGAGCCGUUAGAGAGGAUAGUUGAUAGGUUGAGUGUUGUUUGGGGAGCUGUUAAUCAUCUCAAAGCUGUUAAGGAUAAUCCCGAGCUUCGUUCUGCCAUCGCAGAUGUUCAGCCUGAGAGAAUCACAUUUGGGUUGAAGGUGGAUCAAAGUAAACCGAUUUAUAAUGCUUUCAAGGCUAUAAAGGAAUCACCAGACUUUGCAACACUAAGUGAUGCUCGUAAGCGUAUAGUUGAAUCAUCAAUAAAGGAUGCUGUUCUUAGUGGUAUCUCACUUGAAGAUAAUGAAAGAGAAGAGUUCAAUAAAAUUCAACAGGAGUUGGCAAAACUUUCUAAAAGAUUUGGGGAAAAUGUUUUGGAUGCCACUAAGAAGUUCGAAAAGUUGAUAACCGAUAAGAAGGAAAUUGAAGGUUUGCCGGCUACCGCUCUUGGAUUGGCUGCACAAAUAGCCUCAUCUAAGGGUUAUGAAGAUGCCACUGCAGAAAAUGGGCCAUGGAUGAUUACAUUGGAUGGGCCAAGCUUUAUGUCUGUUAUGCAACAUGCUAAAAAUCGGGCUUUGAGGGAGGAAAUUUACCGAGCUUUCAUAACUCGUGCUUCAAGCGGAGAGCUAGAUAAUACCCCAAUAAUUGACGAAAUUCUAAAGCUUAGGCUGGCAAAAGCUAAGCUUCUUGGUUAUAAUAACUAUGCAGAGUUAAGCAUGGCUACCAAGAUGGCUACAGUUGGUAAAGCACAAGAGCUUCUUGAAAAGCUGAGGAGUGCAUCUUGGAAUGCUGCAGUUCAAGAUAUGGAAGAGCUAAAGCAAUUUGCUAGAAGUCAAGGGGCUCCUGAAGGUGAUGAGCUGGCACACUGGGAUAUUACCUUUUGGAGUGAGAGGCUACGGGAAUCAAAAUAUGAGAUAAAUGAGGAAGAGUUACGACCUUACUUUUCGUUGCCUAAAGUUAUGGAUGGCCUUUUCAACCUUGUGAAGAUGCUAUUUGACAUUGAUGUUGUACCAGCUGAUGGUUUAGCACCUGUCUGGAACAGUGAUGUGAAAUUUUACUGCAUCAAGGAUUCAUCAGGCGAACCUAUUUCAUAUUUUUAUUUUGAUCCAUAUUCCCGUCCAUCUGAAAAACGAGGGGGUGCAUGGAUGGGUGAAGUUUUUUCACGAACUCGUGUAUUUUCUGAUGACAAGACCCCUGUUAGGCUACCUGUUGCCCAUAUGGUAUGCAAUCAAAUGCCACCUGUUGGAAACAAGCCAAGCUUGAUGACUUUUCGUGAGGUGGAGACUGUAUUCCACGAGUUUGGUCAUGCACUUCAACAUAUGCUAACAAAACAAGACGAGGGACUUGUUGCUGGUAUACGAGGCAUAGAGUGGGAUGCUGUUGAAUUACCUUCACAAUUCAUGGAAAAUUGGUGCUACCAUAGGGAUACCCUUAUGAGUAUUGCGAAACACUAUGAAACUGGAGAAUGUCUUCCUGAAGACAUAUAUCAGAAGCUUCUUGCUGCCAGGACUUUUCGUGCUGGUACUAUGAGUCUUCGCCAGCUCAAGUUUGCAAGCCUUGACUUGGAGCUACAUAGUACUUAUGUGCCCAGUGGACCUGAAUCUAUCUAUGAUGUUGACCAAAGGGUCGGUAAAAAAACUCAGUUGAUUCCACCACUUCCAGAGGACAGGUUCCUUUGUGGUUUUAGCCAUAUAUUUGCAGGUGGAUAUGCUGCUGGAUAUUACAGUUACAAGUGGGCAGAAGUGUUAUCUGCAGAUGCUUUCUCAGCGUUUGAGGAUGCUGGAUUAAAUGAUGAUAAGGCAUUGAGAGACACGGGAUACAGGUUCCGAGAAACUGUACUUGCUCUUGGAGGCGGAAAAGAUCCAUUAGAGGUUUUUAUUGAAUUUCGAGGUCGUGAGCCUUCUCCAGAACCACUGCUCAGGCACAACGGCCUGUUACAGACAACCACAUGAACAUUAAUUACUGAACUCUGCUUUCAGUAGGAAUACUGGAGCAAAUAGAUCUGAAGUCAGAACAAUAUAUUGUUUUUUCUGUAAGAUUUGAACUUUCUUCAUAUGCUCUGGAAAGUCUCGAGGUUCAAGUUGCUGAAUCUGUAGCUAACUAUAUUUUUGUCAAAGACCUCAUGGAGUCAUGGGAUAUUAGUCAUCUAUAGAAAUGGUACUAUCUCCGUCAGCGGAAAAAAAAAAAAAAAAAACAAGCCCAUGCUGUAGCUUAAGACUGACUUAAAAUUCUUUAGAAGGGAAUGUAUUCAAGUUUGAUAAACAGAAACUAUAAUUGUAAAAGGACCUCAUGGAUCAGUUGCAAAAAUAAUUUAUGCAGUAAUAUUUGGAGACAAACAAAAACUAUGGACCACAUUAUGUAAAGACUUCAAACAUUAUAGAAAUGGAGAUGAUGAGAAUCGACUAGAACCACACUUCGUGGUCUUGGGGAUUUUCAGUUUGGUUUCAGUUGGAACAUCUAGCCUCAUCAUUGGAAAUCUCAGUGGCCUACCUCCUCUGCCUUUUCUUGUUUCCCUUAGUGACAUGGCCUCCAAAAGGUAUGAUCGAUCGAUUGUUAUUUUGACA